AGGAAACAGACUCUUUUAAACGAGAUUUUGGAGCUGGGUUGUCUGCCAGCCUGCUGACAACAGGGACUCUCUUAUUCCAGGCUUCUCUGUCCAUGGGAAUUCCCAGACAAGAAACUAGAGUGAGUUGCCAUUUCCUUCUCCAGGGGACCUCCCCGACCCAGGGAUUGAACCUGUCUCCUGCAUUGCCAGGGCAGUGAAGAUGAUGGUCUUUCUCAAACUCAAGUAAUCUGCUAAUCCAGAGCAACCCAUAUCAGGCUUGCUUUGAGGUAUCCUGGAAUUCUUGCUUAAUCAAGAAUCUGUGUCCUGUUCUUGCCUCAAUAACAUGCAUACCUUCACCAAGUAGAGAAGAAUCAUUACAAAGAUAGAGCACUCAAUCAAAUCAAGAAUACUUGGUUAGU